CCCUUAGAUGUUCUGGGCCGCACGCGCGCUUCACUGAUGCAUUCAACGAGUCUAAAACCUGGUCUGAUAGGGCUGGGUAAUCUUUUGAAUGUGCAUCGUGAUUGGGAUAGAUGAUUGCAAUUCUUCAUCUUCAACGAGGAAUGCCUAGUAAACGCAAGUCAUCAGCUUGCAUUGAUUACGUCCCUGCCCUUUGUACACACCGCCCGUCGCUCCUACCGAUUGAAUGUUCCGAUGAAUACCAUGGACUGAGAGUAUGAAUGGGUUCGCCUAUUUCUGCUUCUCGGGAAGUGGAGUAAAUCUUAACAUUUAGAGGAAGGAGAAGUCGUAACA
rnacentral:rRNA from 1 species